CGACCUGAGUGGGUGAUCGGCCACAUUGGGACUGAGACGCGGCCCAGACUCCUACGGGAGGCAGCAGUGGGGAAUAUUGCACAAUGGGGGAAACCCUGAUGCAGCAACGCAGCUGACGCAGCACGCCGCGUGAGUGAUGACGGUUUUCGGACCGUAAGCUCUGUCGACCGGGACGAA
rnacentral:rRNA from 1 species